AUGACAAGGAAACAGGGACUCCAACAGAAGAGAGCAGUCAAGGGAAUUCCUAAGAUGAAGAAGGGCAGUCACAGAGGACAGCUGGCAGCCGAGCCUGAAAGCAAGUCCAGAUGGAGGAAUCUAAGGAAGAAUUUCCUGGGAAAAAAAUGGAGCAGAAAUCAUAUAACAGAAACCCGGUGUCCUAGGAGGCCCGAUGAUUCUCCCAGGACUGGAACCAGUCGCCAAAGUCUCUGAUGCAAACCUGAAGGUGUAUACACUGCGGUAUUACCCAGCCAUGAAAAAAGAAGGAAGCUUCUCAUUCGGGCAACAUGGAUGGGCCUUGAGGGCAUCAUGCAAAGUGAGAUGAAUCAGCUGGGGAAAGACUAAGGCUGUCCCAUCUCAUAUGUGGAAUCUAAAAACAAAUAAAAGUCCCAUGCUCA
rnacentral:lncRNA from 12 species